UACAGAGGGGGCAAGCGUUGUUCGGAAUUACUGGGCGUAAAGGGCGCGUAGGCGGCCUUCUAAGUCGAACGUGAAAUCCCUGGGCUCAACCCAGGAACUGCGUCCGAUACUGGAAGGCUUGAAUUCGGGAGAGGGAUGCAGAAUUCCAGGUGUAGCGGUGAAAUGCGUAGAUAUCAGGAGGAAUACCGGUGGCGAAAGCGACUCUCUGGACGGCAACUGACGCUGAGGCACGAAAGCGUGGGGAGCAAACAGG
rnacentral:rRNA from 1 species